rnacentral:hammerhead_ribozyme from 1 species
AUUCAGCUGACGAGUUCCAAAUAGGACGAAGUGGAUUGCACUGGAU